GGAGCUGCAAGUCUAGACUUGGGGGCAGUCAUGUCCUCGGGAAGGUCUGAGAGAAGAGCUGUACUACGCCCUAGAAGGGCGCUUUCCUCAUUACUGGAAAGGGGAGAGAUCAGAAAAAAGACUCUGGGACUCUGUCCAUGGCUUAAGAGAGAAGGUUUCUUCUGGAGGCUGAGGGCCGGAGUUCCUGGGAUGAAAGCUCUCCUGGCUGGSGYAGGMAGCUUAAUGUCUAGAAUGAUAAUCCUAUCAUAACUCAAUUCAGACUACUCUGCAGCUCC
rnacentral:RNase_P_RNA from 1 species